rnacentral:hammerhead_ribozyme from 1 species
AGCCGAAACGCCCGCCCCGAUUGCUAGGGGCGCAGGCGUCCGCGCGGGAUGGUAGCCCACGCGCCGAUGAUGGCAGACCAAA